rnacentral:tmRNA from 1 species
GGGGCUGACUGGAUUUGACAGUAGGUGCGGUUAGCGUAUUUGCAUGCAGGGUGGAGAGUGUACACACUUGAUCAAUUCACUCGAACUAUAAUUGGCGAAUCUAAUUACGCCAUGGCUGCCUAAUCUUUAGCAUAAAGCGAAGAUAAGGCUUAAUCGGUUGAGUCUCCAGCGAGAUUCCCGGGCCACAUCCCACCGGUUUUUGUUCUGCCGGACCGGUUUUUGGGGUGUCGAAUGUGCAGGACUAGUCCAAUGUUUGCUAUUGGCUGAGGGCGAAACUUAAAGAUAGCUUUGGUGGUUAGUCGGCGGUUGCCUGCCAGCUUUCCAUCGAGAUCCAACUGGCAACUAAGCAUGUAGAAAAUACGAUGAUUCCCUAUCUGGACGCGGGUUCGACUCCCGCCAGCUCCACA